ensembl:snoRNA SNORA70 Small nucleolar RNA SNORA70
GUGCAGUCUAUUAAGCUGACCAUUAUGUGUGUCUGGGGUCCAAAGGCUGAAUACACUUGAGUCUGGUUUGUGUAUGUCCUCAGCCAUUCGGUGCUGAGUGCGUUAAAGGGACCAUUGAGACAAAU